AUCCUAUCUCCUCUCUCCAUGAUGGUUUGGGCGAUAUUAUGCUUGCAUGCUAACAGGCAGGUGUGCGCACAGGUGAAGUAUAGGCAGGUAGCGACGGCAUGGAGCUCAAGCGGCACAACUCGCAGCGGUCGAUGGCUGGAAGGUCGAGUGGGCGGCUCGCGGCGACUGGCGGCGGUGAUGGUAGAGAGCGCGAGCGCAGCAGCUGCAUGAGCGAGUUGCGGAGGGAGCAGAGCAGCAGCUCUGCCAGCUCUUGAGGUUGGGAAACGGGAGAUAAAUAGAAUGGCGGAGGGAAUGAGAAGAUAAGAUGAAGAAGAUGGCACGUGAGCUGCUGCGAAGGUUCCUGCAUUGUCACUGAAGAUGCGCAAAGCUGUGCUGUUGCCUAUGGAUAACUGAAACUAAAUUAUUGUGCCAAUCGAACCUCUUCACCAACAAAAUACCUAAGAUUCUAACGAUCCGAAAUGAAGAUUCUUUUCACUGUUGAUGAGUGGGUUGGGCAAAACAGCAAAUACUAAUAGGAAGUGGAUGAGUUUUCCUUUGAACAAACGGGAACCUGAUCCUCU